AAUCGGCAGCUAAUUUGAUUUGAUGUCUGAAUUUUGUAGAGUUCGUAGAAAAAAGAAAAAGAAAAAGUGGAUAGCUGGGUUUUCAUCUUCUUUUUUUUCUUUUUGUCUUUUUUACGCAAGAGGGGAUUCUUGGAGUGUAGAGCAUUUGUCUUUUUUUUAGGUAAAAAAAUAAAAAUAAAAUAAACCUAGCUUCUUCAAAAUCUGAGAUAUUAAAUUAGGAAUUUCUUAAACACGUAACAGGAUCAUGUGCUCUUUGCCAUUGUAUCUCUCCCCCUAAUUUAAAGAUGAAAUACAUUCACCCAAAAUAUAUGGGAAGCUGCUUUUUAGCAGAUGCUGGUUAUGCUAGUUGAUAACAGCAGAGAGUCUGUCCUUUACAUUCGAGUUCGAACCUUCCUCUUCCUAGGGUAGAUUAUAGCUUCUAUUAAAAAGUAUAGAUGUGCUUCCAAUUAAUUGACUAAAAGACAAAAAGUUUGAUCUCCCUUUCCGUCUCCCUCUUAUCUCUCAUGUCAUGACGACUAAAAUGGAACUCUGAGCAAUAUUUCAAUAAGUUGUAGCAUCAAUCUCACGCCAAAAUGUACUAUCAAUCACAUGAGUAAAGGUCUCUCUCUCAUUUGGGCACUCACAGACUUGACUCAUCAUCUCUGCAAAAAAGAAUACUGAUUGAUCACUGUGGGAAUGGAUGAUCACGUACCAACUAUCACCCAUGAAUUGCUCAUCAGGCUCUCUCUUCCGAAAGAAGAAGAUGAUGAUGCGAUUCUUCUCAAGAUUCAGUCUCAACAGCAUCCUGACAUCUCCUACAUGACCUGCCCAAGUCUGCCUCUUGGACAUGUACUUCGAGAUUACUGUAGACGUUCUUACCUACACUAAGAAGCAGUACGUCUCCUUUAUGAUGGAAAAAGGGUCAGAGAGAAGGAUACCCCGGAACAGCACGAGAUGGAGAAUGAGGAUGUUAUUGAUGCAAUGUUGGAUCAGAUUGCCGGCGGUGGCCAUGUUCUUUGAUCUAUUUUAUUUAGCUGCUGCUAUGAACUUAGUCAUUAUGGAGCCUCCCCUUGUAAUUUUCUUCUCAAUGAUCAUUGGCUGCCUUGACUGGAAAGCAGUCAUUAGUAUGUUCAGUUAUCGAAUUGCUAGAAUAUCAUCAUCAGUUUGGGUCCUGAUUAGUCAUCACUAUGCAACCAAACACCCACUCUCUAAACAACCAGAAGUGCAUUUAAUAACAAUAUAUAUGCAUUAAAUAAUGAGAUAUGCAGGGGAGUUUGGAGAGGUUUGGAAUUUGGAAAUAGGAAUUGAAUGAUAUUUGACUAGAAUACAUGGUCCAAUUACAUGUGUGGCUGCUUCAUUGUCUUCA